UGUUUCACAAUAUUGUGAGUGUUUACUGGCAUGAUCCCACCCAUUUUUUGGAAAUCACUAUAAAUACUGCAUGAAGAUUAUAAUCUACAAAUAGCUAACCUAAAACAGCAAGCAAGAAAAGACGAGACUGCACAUCCAAAGAUAUGUUUUCACUGCUUCUGUUAUCAGGUUGCCUCAGCUUCAGCUUAAGUAUCCCUCGUCAUUAUGUCUUUGUGAAUGAACCCAAGACUUGGACAGAAGCUCAGAUAUACUGUAGAGAGAAAUACACUGAUCUGGCCACCAUUGAAAAUGAACAACAAACAAACCAGGUAAUCAACACAGUCAAAGAUGAUUCCACUGAUUUGGCCUGGAUUGGACUCUAUGAUGAUCUGAGCAGUUGGAAAUGGACUCUAGAGGACAGUGAUUUCUUUAAGGUGGGACAGAAAGACUUCAGGAACUGGUUUAAACAAGACCAAGUGAAUAAUGAAGGACAAUACAUGUAUGUGUAUAUGUCCAGGGGGAAGUGGUAUGCAACAGACUGGUACAACACAUUUCCAUUUAUCUGCU